rnacentral:rRNA from 1 species
UGCCAGCAGCCGCGGUAAGACGGAGGGUGCAAACGUUGUUCGGAAUUACUGGGCAUAAAGCGCACGUAGGCGGUUUGCUAAGUCAGAUGUGAAAGCCCUCGGCUCAACCGAGGAACUGCAUUUGAAACUGGCAGGCUUGAGAAUGGUAGGGGUGAGCGGAACUCCAGGUGGAGCGGUGAAAUGCGUAGAUAUCUGGAGGAACACCGGUGGCGAAAGCGGCUCACUGGACCAUCACUGACGCUGAGGUGCGAAAGCCAGGGUAGCAAACGGGAUUAGAUA